UUCAUAUUCUACAUAUUAUUCCAAAUUCAUAUAUAUUAUUCCGAUAUUUACUUAUUCUAAUAUCCAAUUUGAUCAAUUAUUAUUUUGAAUUAUUUACGACUGACUUGUGAUGAUAUCAAUUUUGAAAAAUUGAUAAUAAUAACAAACGAGCACAGGUAAGCUUAUAUGACAAAAUUACGAUUGAUAAAAACAACUCAUGAUAAGAAUAACAAAAACGAUUUGGACACGCCAACGAAUAAAUCUAAUGCAAUAUAGAAACGCCAAGACGAUAAACCAUUAGGACGUCAAGCUAUCGAUGAGAGCUUACAUGAAAUUAUGGGAAAGCUUUUUAGAAGAGGGAGAAUGUUAUAUAAUAGGAAUAUUAAUAAAUUAAAAUAUUAUAAGUUUGGUGAUUAAAUAGUAAUUUUAAAUUUUAUAUCAAUCACUCAUUAAAUUAUCUUUAUUUUAAUAUUAAAAAAAUGUAAUUAAAAAUUACGAAAAAUGUCAAUUUUGAAAUAUAGGGAACAGCUGACAUUAAAUACUCGCACUUUAAAUAAAUAUAAGAAUUUCUAUUUAAAAAAAUUAUUAUUAUAUAAAAAGAAUGUUACUUAUAAGACACAAUUAAAAUUUUCGCGCCAAAAUAAUUUACGGGGUAAAAUAGGUCAGAAAAUUUAUUAUCUGACUGAUUAGUAUUCAUAUGUAUAAAGGGUAUUCUAAUAUUUAUAAAAAACCUAAAAAUGAUUCCAAGAGGUCGGCCUUAUCCUUGGUAGUCAAAUCUAUGGGUUGAAUGUUCGAAAUGACAAAUCUAUGCAAGGCUAAAUCGUUGCAAACUUCACAUUGAGUUUGAUUGUUGACUAAACAACUCCUUUUUCAAAAUGUAGAUAUCAGGCUACUUUCCAAUCAAAUCCAGUGGCAUUAGCAUAAGGUCAUCCUCCCUACUUUCCGUUAGUGCGUUCAUAUCCUCUCGCCUGUCUUGCGAGCCCAUCAUACACACUCACAAAACAUCCUGAUCCCUUGCUUCUGCAGGAAAUUUAUGGAAGUCUCUCUCAUUAGUCGAUCCUCCCUCAUCGGAACUACAGGACUGGGAUAAGCCUCUAGUUGGCAACAUCGCGAAACCUUGACCAGCUCCUAAGCAAUGAUGAGCUACAUUACGCCAUCAGUCUUAGACUUAAUUGUGAUAUGGUGAUUGCCUAUCACUAUAUCCUAUGUCAAACAUCGGUCAACUCCAAAGGCCGUCACGCACUAAAAGCGCUGAGGCAGAUUCAUUAGACAUUCAAAAAUGCAGGGCCUUGAAAUCUUAUGACAUACCGUCAACCCUCGAGCCUACUGGCCUAUUAUUCCGAUGGUAAACGGCCUGAUGGUUUUAACGUGAUCCCUUGGAAGAGGGGUGAAUUCCUAACAGAUUUCUCAUGCAUCGAUCCUCUUGCCCCUUCAAUAUAAAUAGGGAUGCUCUACUGGACGCCGAGACGAAUAAACUAGCCAAACAUUCGCCGCUACCUGUCAACUAUCACUAAUAGCCACGCCUUUAACAUUGUUCGGCUCUCAUGCCCUAGCCUUUUUAAAGAUCUGGGGCAUCAGAUCUCUGCUAGGACCGAGGAACCCAAAGAGAGAUUCUACCUAUGUCAAAGGUUAACCCUAAACAUAAUAAAGUGCAAUUAUAUCAGCUUUAUACUCUCAAUGACCGAAACCCCCUGAUUGAACAUACUAACCUAUGUCAAAGGUUAACCCUAAACAUAAUAAAGUGAAAUUACAUCAGCUUUAUACUCUCAAUGACCAAAACCCCCUGAUUGAACAUACUAUGCAUAGGAUAGACUUAGGCUAUUUUGCUCCCAAUUAUAACGUUGAUAAAAGGAACUUGGAUCUAAUCGA